GGAAUAUUGCGCAAUGGAGGAAACUCUGACGCAGUGACGCCGCGUAUAGGAAGAAGGUUUUAGGAUUGUAAACUAUUUUAGACAGGGAAGAAAAAUGACAGUACCUGUAGAAUAAGCUCCGGCUAACUACGUGCCAGCAGCCGCGGUAAUACGUAGGGAGCAAGCGUUAUCCGGAAUUAUUGGGUGUAAAGGGUGCGUAGAUGGGAAUACAAGUUGGUUGUGAAAUCCCCAGGCUUAACUUGGGAACUGCAACCAAAACUAUAUUUCUUGAGUGCAGGAGAGGAAAGCGGAAUUCCUAGUGUAGCGGUGAAAUGCGUAGAUAUUAGGAGGAACACCAGUGGCGAAGGCGGCUUUCUGGACUGUAACUGACAUUGAGGCACGAAAGUGUGGGGAGCAAACA
rnacentral:rRNA from 1 species